GCGGGUGUAGUUCAGUGGCUAGAACGCCUGCUUGCCAAGCAGGAGGUCGUGGGUUCGACCCCCAUCACCCGCUCCA
rnacentral:tRNA from 1 species